rnacentral:rRNA from 1 species
CACGAACCGUACGAACGUUAUUCGGAAUCACUGGGCUUAAAGGGUGCGUAGGCGGCCUGGUAAGUUGGGUGUGAAAUCCCUCGGCUUAACCGAGGAAUUGCGCUCAAAACUGUCAGGCUAGAGGAAGUCAGAGGUGAGUGGAACUUAGGGUGGAGCGGUGAAAUGCGUUGAUAUCCUAAGGAACACCAGUGGCGAAAGCGACUCACUGGGGCUUUUCUGACGCUGAGGCACGAAAGCUAGGGGAGCGAACGGG